UACGUAGGGCGCAAGCGUUGUCCGGAAUUAUUGGGCGUAAAGAGCUCGUAGGCGGUCUGUCGCGUCUGCCGUGAAAACCCGAGGCUCAACCUCGAGACGUCGGUUGAAACCGUUUGGCUAGAGUCCGGAAGAGGAGAGUGGAAUUCCCGGUGUAGCGGUGAAAUGCGCAGAUAUCGGGAAGAACACCCGUGGCGAAGGCGGCUCUCUGGGACGGUACUGACGCUGAGACGCGAAAGCGUGGGGAGCGAACAGG
rnacentral:rRNA from 1 species